UCCCUGGUGGCUAGACAGUAAAGCAUCUGCCUACAGUGCAGGAGACCUGGGUUCGAUCCCUAGGUUGGGAA
rnacentral:tRNA from 1 species